rnacentral:rRNA from 1 species
AACGAACGCUGGCGGCGUGCCUAACACAUGCAAGUCGAGCGGGAAAGUUCCCUUCGGGAGCAAGUACAGCGGCGAACGGGUGAGUAACACGUAGGUAACCUACCCUGGAGAUCGGGAUAACCUGCCGAAAGGCGGGCUAAUACCGGAUAAGACCACGAGGGCUGCGGCCCUUGAGGAAAAAGAAUGGCCUCUGCUUGCAAGCUAUCACUCUGGGAUGGGCCUGCGCGCCAUUAGCAGUUGGUGAGGUAACGGCUCACCAAGGCUGAGAUGGCUAGCUGGUCUGAGAGGAUGGCCAGCCACACUGGGACUGAGACACGGCCCAGACUCCUACGGGAGGCAGCAGUGGGGAAUAUUGCGCAAAUGGGCGAAAGCCUGACGCAGCGACGCGCGUGGGUGAUGAAGGCCUUCGGUCGUAAG